rnacentral:rRNA from 1 species
CAGAAGAGGACAGUGGAACUCCAUGUGUAGCGGUGGAAUGCGUAGAUAUAUGGAAGAACACCAGUGGCGAAGGCGGCUGUCUAGUCUGUAACUGACGCUGAGGCUCGAAAGCAUGGGUAGCGAACAGGAUUAGAUACCCUGGUAGUCCAUGCCGUAAACGAUGAGUGCUAAGUGUUGGAGGGUUUCCGCCCUUCAGUGCUGCAGCUAACGCAUUAAGCACUCCGCCUGGGGAGUACGACCGCAAGGUUGAAACUCAAAGGAAUUGACGGGGGCCCGCACAAGCGGUGGAGCAUGUGGUUUAAUUCGAAGCUACGCGAAGAACCUUACCAGGUCUUGACAUACUAUGCAAAUCUAAGAGAUUAGACGUUCCCUUCGGGGACAUGGAUACAGGUGGUGCAUGGUUGUCGUCAGCUCGUGUCGUGAGAUGUUGGGUUAAGUCCCGCAACGAGCGCAACCCUUAUUAUCAGUUGCCAGCAUUAAGUUGGGCACUCUGGUGAGACUGCCGGUGACAAACCGGAGGAAGGUGGGGAUGACGUCAAAUCAUCAUGCCCCUUAUGACCUGGGCUACACACGUGCUACAAUGGAUGGUACAACGAGUUGCGAACUCGCGAGAGUAAGCUAAUCUCUUAAAGCCAUUCUCAGUUCGGAUUGUAGGCUGCAACUCGCCUACAUGAAGUCGGAAUCGCUAGUAAUCGCGGAUCAGCAUGCCGCGGUGAAUACGUUCCCGGGCCUUGUACACACCGCCCGUCGCACCAUGAGAGUUUGUAACACCCAAAGUCGGUGGGGUAACCUUUUAGGAACCAGCCGCCUAAGGUGGGACAGAUGAUUAGGGUGAAGUCGUAACAAGGUAGCCGUA